GGCAGUGCUGAGGUACACAGAAAGCACAUCAUGGGUCAGAACGUUGCAGAUUACAUGCGUUACCUGAUUGAAGAAGAUGAAGAUGCUUACAAGAAACAAUUCUCUCAGUACAUAAAGAACAACGUAACUCCAGACAUGAUGGAGGAGAUGUAUAAGAAAGCUCAUGCUGCAAUACGAGAGAAUCCAGUGUAUGAGAAGAAGCCUAAGAAAGAAGUUAAAAAGAAGAGGUGGAACCGUCCCAAAAUGUCACUUGCCCAGAAGAAAGCUCGGGUAGCUCAGAAGAAGGCAAGCUUCCUUAGAGCUCAGGAACGAGCUGCCGAGAGCUAAACCAAACCACAAUUUUCUAUCAAGAUUUUUCAGAUAAGACAAUAAUAAACUUAUUGAACAAGCAAAAAAA